rnacentral:rRNA from 1 species
CCUGAGAAACCCAAAAGAUCGAAUGGGGAGAUUCAUCGUCAGCGAUCCGGGCACUCUUGCGGUUCGUGAUGCCGGGGGCUUCGGUUCCAUGGCACACGUCCGUAUGGGUUUUUUGCCCGGUGUCGUCGGCGUGCACUUCUCCCCUAGUAGGACGUCGCGACCCGUUGGGUGUCGGUCUACGGCCCGGGUGGGCGCCUGUCACGCGUUACGCUUCACCGCGUCGCGUGACAGACCCCCGGUUGUCUGACCAGCUGCCCGGCGGUACUCGCACGGUAUCGAGUCGCAAACAUUCGAACUGCGUCCGGCCCGCCGCAAGCGAGGCCAGUGUUAUCCCGGAUGUACGGACCUAGAGCCGUCACCGGGCCUGGCCAGCUGUUGGUUGGUGGUGUUCUGGGACUGGCUCUAAAUUAUGAUACCGGUCGGCGACGCUACUGCUUUGGGUACUUUCAGGACCCGUCUUGAAACACGGACCAAGGAGUCUAACAUGUGCGCGAGUCAUUGGGAGCUAAUAAGCCUAAAGGCGCAAUGAAAGUGAAGGUCGGCCCUGCGCCAACCGAGGGAGGAUGGGCCGCGUCACGAUGCGGUCCCGCACUCCCGGGGCGUCUCGUUCUCAUUGCGAGAAGAGGCGCACCCAGAGCGUACACGUUGGGACCCGAAAGAUGGU